rnacentral:rRNA from 1 species
AAUAGAUACCCCGGUAGUCCACGCCGUAAACGAUGUCGACUUGGAGGUUGUGCCCUUGAGGCGUGGCUUCCGGAGCUAACGCGUUAAGUCGACCGCCUGGGGAGUACGGCCGCAAGGUUAAAACUCAAAUGAAUUGACGGGGGGCCCGCACAAGCGGUGGAGCAUGUGGUUUAAUUCGAUGCAACGCGAAGAACCUUACCUACUCUUGACAUCCAGAGAACUUAGCAGAGAUGCUUUGGUGCCUUCGGGAACUCUGAGACAGGUGCUGCAUGGCUGUCGUCAGCUCGUGUUGUGAAAUGUUGGGUUAAGUCCCGCAACGAGCGCAACCCUUAUCCUUUGUUGCCAGCGGUUAGGCCGGGAACUCAAAGGAGACUGCCAGUGAUAAACUGGAGGAAGGUGGGGAUGACGUCAAGUCAUCAUGGCCCUUACGAGUAGGGCUACACACGUGCUACAAUGGCAUAUACAAAGGAGAAGCGACCUCGCGAGAGCAAGCGGACCUCAUAAAGUAUGUCGUAGUCCGGAUUGGAGU